rnacentral:rRNA from 1 species
UACGUAGGGCGCAAGCGUUGUCCGGAAUUAUUGGGCGUAAAGAGCUCGUAGGCGGUUUGUCGCGUCUGUCGUGAAAGCUUGGGGCUUAACCCUAAGUCUGCGGUGGAUACGGGCAGACUAGAGGCAGGUAGGGGAGAACGGAAUUCCCGGUGUAGCGGUGAAAUGCGCAGAUAUCGGGAGGAACACCGGUGGCGAAGGCGGUUCUCUGGGCCUGUAUUGACGCUGAGGUGCGAAAGCGUGGGGAGCAAACAGG